UCGAGAGGAGCGGCGAACGGGUGAGUAACGCGUUGGUAGCUACCCCCUACUCAGGGAUAACCCACUGAAAAGUGGACUAAUACCGGAUGGCCCCCCGCUUUGCGGGGGUAAAGCUUUUGCGGUAGGGGAGGCGCCUGCGUAGUAUCAGCUUGUUGGUGAGGUAAAAGCUCACCAAGGCUAUGACGCUUAGCGGGUCUGAGAGGAUGAUCCGCCACAUGGGGACUGAGACACGGCCCCAACUCC
rnacentral:rRNA from 1 species